AAGACUUCAGGAGAUAAAAUCAAAGCAAAAUGAACUUGAAUUAAAGCUGAGCCAGGCUGAAGUUACUAUUUUAAAGCUAACAGAGGAGAGGAGUUCAAGCAUUCAGGAGAGAAAAAAAUUACAGGAGCAAUUAGCACAACUGAACCAAAGGGGGGUGAGUGUGAAAAGAGUCCAAGUUGGGUUUCCUCUACUAUAUGUUUGUAUGGUGGCGCUUAUCAGUGUUGCUCUUGGAUACUGUCUUCACCCUUGAAACAAUGCGUAUGAAGCUACUACCGUCAGUCAGUAGUUAGAUAAAUACGUAUAAAAUCAUUUUCCUCUCAUUAUAAAUGUAUAGAUGAGGUAUAGAUGGGACAGUCUAGCCAAUAUACUCACAGAUAAGUGAAGUGCAUGUAUACGCG